rnacentral:misc_RNA from 1 species
GAAAUGCGACAAGUAAUGUGAAUCGCAGAAUUCAGUGAAUCAUCGAAUCUUUGAACGCACCUUGCGCUCCUUGGUAUUCCUUGGAGCAUGCCUGUUUGAGUAUCAUGAAAUCUUCAAAGUAAGUCUUUUGUUAACUCAAUUGGUUUCUACUUUGGUAUUGGAGGUCUUUGCAGCUUCACACCUGCUCCUCUUUGUUCAUUAGCUGGAUCUCAGUGUUAUGCUUGGUUCCACUCGGCGUGAUAAGUUAUCUAUCGCUGAGGACACUGUAAAAGGUGGCCAAGGUAAAUGCAGAUGAACCGCUUCUAAUAGUCCAUUGACUUGGACAAUACUUUUAUGAUCUGAUCUCAAAUCAGGUAGGACUACCCGCUGAACUUAAGC